rnacentral:rRNA from 1 species
GAACGAACGCUGGCGGCAGGCCUAACACAUGCAAGUCGAACGCCCUAGCAAUAGGGAGUGGCAGACGGGUGAGUAACACGUGGGAACCUUCCCUAUAGUAUGGAAUAGCCCAGGGAAACUUGGAGUAAUACCGUAUACGCCCGAGAGGGGAAAGAUUUAUCGCUAUAGGAUGGGCCCGCGUAGGAUUAGCUAGUUGGUGAGGUAAUGGCUCACCAAGGCGACGAUCCUUAGCCGGUCUGAGAGGACGACCAGCCACACUGGGACUGAGACACGGCCCAGACUCCUACGGGAGGCAGCAGUGGGGAAUAUUGGACAAUGGGCGCAAGCCUGAUCCAGCCAUGCCGCGUGAGUGAUGAAGGCCUUAGGGUUGUAAAGCUCUUUUGCCGGGGACGAUAAUGACGGUACCCGGAGAAUAAGUCCCGGCUAACUUCGUG